AAUAUCUGGUCCAACUCUCGAUAUUUUAAAAACUUCUCUAAACAAAAUACAACACCUAAUCGAGUAAAAUCGUACAAUCACGCUUGGCCGAAAAACAAUAUCCAAUUCUUCAAAGCCCGCAAAUUCAUUAGUUACGAAGCACAACACUUGCAAAAAUACUAUCCCUACGCGCCGCGAGACGUCGCAAAUGCCUAGGGAAACUAUUUUUCAAAAAGACAUCCUGAAACCUUCAUCACAACUACAAUACACAUUAACAACUGCUCUAACACGUACCCUUCGCGAAGAUUUUAACGGUAAAACCUACCAUCAAGUUCGAUUAUGAUCACAUCAAACUCUCAACGUCCUAAACAGACUUAGCCUUCUCGUAGAGAUGACUCUCGUACGUCCGACACAAGGAUAAUAGCGCUAUAAAAG
rnacentral:lncRNA from 1 species